UACGAAGGGUGCAAGCGUUACUCGGAAUUACUGGGCGUAAAGCGUGCGUAGGUGGUUCGUUAAGUCUGAUGUGAAAGCCCUGGGCUCAACCUGGGAAUGGCAUUGGAAACUGGCGACCUAGAGUGCGGUAGAGGGUAGUGGAAUUCCCGGUGUAGCAGUGAAAUGCGUAGAGAUCGGGAGGAACACCGAUGGCGAAGGCAGCCCCCUGGGCUAGCACUGACGCUCAGGCACGAAAGCGUGGGGAGCAAACAGG
rnacentral:rRNA from 1 species